UCUGAUAAUAAAAAAAAUAAAAAAACGCCCGAUCUCGUUUGAUCUCGGAAGCUAAGAUAGGUUGGGCCUGGUUAGUACUUGGAUGGGAGACCGCCUGGGAAUACCAGGUGCUGUAAGCU
rnacentral:rRNA from 14 species